rnacentral:lncRNA from 10 species
AAGCAGUAGCAGUUCCACAUCUCCCUACCACCUCUUAUUUCCUACGAAGUCUUUCUGCCUGAAACUGGAAAACCCGAACUAUUAUUGAGGAAGUGAAGCCCUUCCAUUUGAAUCCUGAGAAAGACGCGCUCAAAGAACCCAGCGAACAAAGGAGAGGGUUGGAGCCCACGCAAAACAUGGGUGUGAUAAAGCCACACGCGACCUGAGCCCCCACCCUCAGUAACUACUCUCCAGCGCCCACCGGGAGGAGGGGUCCGGGGAAAGGGUAAGCCGAGGAAGGAGAAGACGCUCCGGCCAGACCGAACGCAGGAUUGGCAUCCUCUGCUUCUGCAGAAAACAUGGCUACCAACAGCUUCUGUAUCCACCUGCGGAGGAGACUGACUGCUCUGUUAUUCCCCCAGCAUCUGUGAAGAGGCUCUGACUGGCUAAAGUGUUGGAAGGAGUCUGUAGCUUUAGGGGAAGACAGAGCCACAAGAUGGAAGGAGCUUGGAUGUCUGAACUAUUCCAUGGAGAAAAGCUGCAGCCAACGAAGAACACCUGCAAUGGACUCUUAACCUGGGGGUGACGACAACCACUGAAAUAUGCUGCAUCUUAGUCCAGGGAUUUUUAAAGUGUGGUUCCUGGAAGAGCUGGAUCAGAGUCAUCUGUGUUGAUGGUUUAACAUAAAGAUUUUCGAGCCCCAAGACUCAAGUAGGACAAGGAAUUUGAAUUUUUAAGCAGCUCACCUGACUUGUCUGUCCUCUAAUGUCUGAAGACAUCUGACCUCUGCUCUUUCAGUAAAAGCAACAAUGGUUUUAUGAGCAUUGUCGUCACAUCUCUCCACUCAAGGGAUCCUUCUCAUUUCUCCCAGCUGAGGUCACCCACAGCUGCUGCUUCUAACUGCUGGCUUCCAGCCUGCUGUCUGCCAGCUGGCUCUACCCUCUCCUAUAACACGGCAGAGAGUAGCUGUGGUCUCCUGCGUGCUCACCCUCUGCUCCCUUGGUCCUGCUCCAUGCUUUGGUCCUGCACUUAAAUUUUACAAGCAUACUCUCU